AACGAACGCUGGCGGCAGGCUUAACACAUGCAAGUCGAACGCCCCGCAAGGGGAGUGGCAGACGGGUGAGUAACGCGUGGGAACAUACCCUUUUCUACGGAAUAGCUCUGGGAAACUGGAAUUAAUACCGUAUACGCCCUACGGGGGAAAGAUUUAUCGGGGAAGGAUUGGCCCGCGUUGGAUUAGCUAGUUGGUGGGGUAAAGGCCUACCAAGGCGACGAUCCAUAGCUGGUCUGAGAGGAUGAUCAGCCACAUUGGGACUGAGACACGGCCCAAACUCCUACGGGAGGCAGCAGUGGGGAAUAUUGGACAAUGGGCGCAAGCCUGAUCCAGCCAUGCCGCGUGAGUGAUGAAGGCCUUAGGGUUGUAAAGCUCUUUAACCGAUGAAGAUAAUGACGGUAGUCGGAGAAGAAGCCCCGGCUAACUUCGUG
rnacentral:rRNA from 1 species